ACACUUUUAGUAUAAAUUAGUAUAUUUGUCUUCCAAACAAAAGGUUUCUUUGGUAGAAAAAGUGUA
rnacentral:tRNA from 10 species